UACGGGGGAGCAAGCGUUGUUCGGAUUUACUGGGCGUAAAGGGCGCGUAGGCGGCCCAGCACAAGUCAGUUGUGAAAUCUCCGAGCUUAACUCGGAAAGGUCAACUGAUACUGUGCGGCUAGAGUGCGGAAGGGGCAACUGGAAUUCUUGGUGUAGCGGUGAAAUGCGUAGAUAUCAAGAGGAACACCUGCGGCGAAGGCGGGUUGCUGGGCCGACACUGACGCUGAGGCGCGAAAGCCAGGGGAGCGAACGGG
rnacentral:rRNA from 1 species